rnacentral:misc_RNA from 1 species
AAAGUGCGAUAAGCAAUGCGAAUUGCAGAAUUCCGCGAAUCAUCAGAUCCUUGAACGCAACUGGCGCUAGGAGGCUCUCCUCCUAGCAUGUCUGUUUCAGUGUCUGAAAACAUCACAAAUUAACUUAAUGUGGUUGAUGACGAAAAAGAGAAUUUCUCUCUUUCUCGAAAUCUCCCAUGAAAGAUGUACAUGCGGGUCUUUGGACCCCUCAUCGAAUUGGUCACUGUCUCUUCAGUGAUUUCGAUAGGGGGAAAAAUUAAAAUAAUCCAAUUACCUAAAUGCAUGUAGGAACUUUUUUCCAACUUCAAACUCUGCAUCUCAAAUCAGGCAAGAGCACCCGCUGAACUUAA